rnacentral:rRNA from 1 species
UGAACGCUGGCGGCGUGCUUAACACAUGCAAGUCGCACGAGAACGCUUCAGCUUGCUGAAGUUAGUAAAGUGGCGCACGGGUGAGUAACGCGUGGGUAAUCUACCCCCCGAAUUGGGGAUAACAUCGCGAAAGCGAUGCUAAUACCGAAUGAUAUCUUGAAAACUCUGUUUUCUGGAUCAAAGAUGGCCUCUACAUGUAAGCUAUUGUUUGGGGAUGAGCCCGCGUACCAUUAGCUUGUUGGUAGGGUAAUGGCCUACCAAGGCAACGAUGGUUAGCUGGUCUGAGAGGAUGAUCAGCCACACUGGAACUGACACACGGUCCAGACUCCUACGGGAGGCAGCAGUGAGGAAUUUUGCGCAAUGGGGGAAACCCUGACGCAGCAACGCCGCGUGAGUGAUGAAGGCUUUCGGGUCGUAAAGCUCUGUCAAGUGGGAAGAAACCAUAUGGUGUUAAUAUCGCCAUAUGCUGACGGUACCAUUGAAGGAAGCACCGGCUAACUCC